GUCCCAGUUCGGAUUGUAGUCCGCAACCCGACUACAUGAAGCUGGAAUCGCUAGUAAUCGCGGAUCAGAAUGCCGCGGUGAAUACGUUCCCGGGUCUUGUACACACCGCCCGUCACACCAUGGGAGUCGGAAAUGCCCGAAGUCUGUGACCCAACCGGAAGGAAGGAGCAGCCGAAGGCAGGUCUGAUGACUGGGGUGAAGUCGUAACAAGGUAGC
rnacentral:rRNA from 1 species